AUGUCCAUGAGGGAGGUGGAUGAGCAAAUGUUCAACAUUCCACUGGAGCGGAACCCCACUGCACUCCAGCCUGGACAACAGCGAGACUCUGUCUUAAAAAAGAAAAGAAAAAAUCCAUGGAGUUCUAUAGCUUGUUUUCUUACUUGGCAUCUACUGUACUGUUUUGUUUUAUUAUCAUACCAGCAGCAUACUACAAAAACAGCACAAUAUAUAUACCCAUCAUUUUUUCCCGUUAAAAAAAAAAGUGAGGGUCACGCCAAAAUUAUGGCCACGUCUGGUGUUGUAGCUGUUAGUUAAUUAUUCGGCACACACACAUCCCUAGGUUAAUACCUGUCAUAACAAGCAACUGUACCUCUUAAGUCCAUCGUAGUUAGAAGGCGCUGUUUUGAAUUUUUAGAUUUGCUUUUACAAGAAUGGCAGACGCAUUCACUAGAACGACACAUAUCAGUAUUAGCGGAAACAGUAAAGAAAGGAAUACACGAUGCUGAUUCUGAAGCAAGAAUGGAAGCCAGAAAAUGUUACUGGGGUUUUCACAGUCACUUCAGCGGAGAAGCAGAGCACUUAUACCACACCUUGGAGUCCUCCUACCAAAAAGCCCUGCAGUCCCACCUGAAGAACUCAAACAGCAUCGUGUCUCUGCCUCAGUCUGAUCGCUCGUCUUCCAGCUCUCGAGAGUCUAAAUCGGCCGCUGUCUGCCAAAAGAAGUCCUACUGGAAGUACCACGUCUAGACGUUCUACAGUUAGUACCAAAUCUGUGUCAACGACUGGGUCCCUUCAGCGAUCUCGAAGUGACAUUGAUGUGAACGCAGCAGCCAGUGCCAAAUCCAAAGUCUCCUCAUCUUCGGGAACGAUGCCUUUCAGCUCCGCAGCGGCUUUGCCUCCAGGCUCAUAUGCAUCCUUAGGUCGGAUCCGCACAAGACAGCAAAGCUCUGGGAGUGCCACCAACGUCGCCUCUACACCUUCUGAUAACUGGGCCACAGUCGCGCUAAAGUGGUUUCACAGUCCCAGCGAUCCAGAUCUGCUAAUCCUGCUGGUGCCGGCAGCCGGUCAAGUUCUCCAGGAAAAUUGUUGGGAAGUAGUUAUGGUGGACUUGCUGGGGGCUCCUCACAAGGCCCGCCUGUGACACCAUCUUCAGAAAAGCGAAGCAAGAUUCCCAGGAGCCAGGGAUGUAGCUGGGAAACAAGUCCAAACCGAAUAGGAUUAGAUUGGUUUGGGCUUGGCCAGCCAGGAAGAAUACCUGGUUCUGUGAAUGCCAUGAGAGUUUUGAGCACAAGUACAGAUCUUGAAGCUGCUGUUGCUGAUGCUUUGCUGUUAGGAGACUCCAGGAGCAAGAAGAAGCCUGUGAGGAGGAGGUAUGAGCCGUAUGGGAUGUAUUCUGACGAUGAUGCCAACAGUGAUGCCUCAAGUGUUUGCCCUGAGCACUCGUAUGGCUCCAGGAAUGGUGGCAUUCCCCAUUAUCUGCAGCAGACCGAGGAUGUAGCAGCAGUUCUCAACCACUGUGCUAAUUCAAACUGGUCAGAUAGGAAAGAAGGGCUUCUGAGCCUGCAGAACCUACUGAAGAGCCAAAGAACACUGAGUCGAAUUGAACUGAAAAGAUUGUGUGAGAUUUUCACCCGGAUGUUUGCUGAUCCUCAUAGCAAGAGUUUUCAGUAUGUUUUUGGAGACUCUUGUGGAUUUUAUAAUAAUUCAUAAGGAUGACUUGCAAGACUGGCUUUUUGUUCUUCUCACACAAUUACUUAAGAAAAUGGGAGCAGAUUUACUUGGAUCUAUGCAAGCAAAAGUCCAAAAGGCUCUAGAUGUCACCAGAGACUCCUUUCCAUUUGAUCAACAAUUUAACAUUUUGAUGAGAUUUAUUGUGGAUCAAACUCAAACUCCAAACCUCAAGGUCAAAGUUGCAAUCCUGAAAUAUAUUGAGUCUCUGGCCAGACAGAUGGAUCCAACAGAUUUUGUAAACUCUAGUGAGACAAGGGUUGCUGUUUCUAGAAUCGUAACCUGGACAACAGAACCAAAGAGUUCAGACGUGAGAAAGGCAGCACAAAUUGUGCUAAUCUCUCUGUCUGAAUUGAAUACUCCUGAAUUUACCAUGUUACUUGGUGCCUUGCCAAAAACAUUCCAGGAUGGUGCCACCAAACUCCUGCAUAACCACCUCAAGAAUUCCAGUAACAUCAGUGUGAGCUCUCCAAGCAAUACGAUUGGCCAGACACCCUCCCGACACACCAGCAGCAGGACCAGCCCCCUGGCCUCACCCACCAACUGUUCCCAUGGGGGUCUGUCUCCAAGCAUGCUGGACUAUGAUACAGAGAACCUGAAUGAACUCUGAAGAAAUCUAUAGUUCUCUACUUGGAGUUACAGAAGCCAUUGAAAAGUUUAGUUUCGAAGCCAAGAGGAUCUGAAUGAGCCAAUUAAACGAGAUGGCAAAAAGGAGUGUGAUAUUGUGUCCCGCGAUGGGGGCGCUGCCUCUCCUGCCACCAAGGGCCCAGCGGGGGGCAGCGAGGUAGAAGGAGGCCGGACAGCUCUGGAUAACAAGACCUCGCUACUCAGCACCCAGCCUCCACGUGCCUUCCCGGGGCCAUGGGCGCGAGAGUACAACCCGUACCCCUACUCAGAUGCCAUCAACUCCUACGACAAGACCGCCCUGAAGGGGGCUGUGUUCGAUGACGACAUGGAGCAGCUUCGAGAUGUGCCCAUCGACCAUUCUGACCUGGUGGCUGACCUUCUGAAGAGCUGUCCAACCACAACGAGCGGGUGGAGGAACGGAAAGGAGCCCUGCUGGAGCUGCUCAAAAUCACACGGGAAGACAGCCUUGGCGUCUGGGAGCACUUCAAGACCAUUCUGCUCCUGCUGCUGGAGACCCUUGGAGACAAAGACCAUUCAAUUCGAGCACUGGCAUUGAGAGUUUUGAGGGAAAUUCUGAGAAAUCAACCAGCAAGAUUUAAAAACUACGCUGAGCUGACAAUUAUGAAGACUCUGGAAGCCCACAAAGACUCCCAUAAGGAGGUGGUGAGAGCGGCUGAGGAGGCUGCGUCCACACUGGCCAGUUCCAUCCACCCGGAGCAGUGCAUCAAGGUGCUCUGCCCCAUCAUCGAGACGGCUGACUAUCCCAUCAACCUUGCUGCCAUCAAGAUGCAGACCAAAGUCGUCGAGAGGAUCGCCAAGGAGUCGUUGCUGCAGCUCCUCGCCGACAUCAUCCCAGGCUUGCUGCAGGGUUAUGACAACACCAAAAGUAGUGUGCGUAAGGCCAGCGUGUUUUGCUUAGUGGCGAUUUAUUCCGUAAUUGGAGAAGACCUGAAACCUCACCUCGCACAGCUCACAGGGAGCAAGAUGAAGCUACUAAACUUAUACAUAAAGAGGGCCCAGACCAACAACAGCAACAGCAGCUCCUCCUCCGAUGUCUCCACGCCCAGCUAAUAGCAGCGCCUCAC